CACUAGUGAUUGGUGUUCUUCCCGAUAUCUACACAUUCCACCGUUACACCGGGAAUUCCAGUCUCCCCUACCGCACUCAAGCCCGCCCGUACCCGGCGCGGAUCCACCGUUAAGCGAUGGACUUUCACACCGGACGCGACGAACCGCCUACGAGCCCUUUACGCCCAAUAAUUCCGGAUAACGCUCGCACCCUACGUAUUACCGCGGCUGCUGGCACGUAGUUAGCCGGUGCUUAUUCGAACAAUCCACUCAACACGGCCGAAACCGUGCCUUGCCCUUGAACAAAAGCGGUUUACAACCCGAAGGCCUCCAUCCCGCACGCGGCGUCGCUGCAUCAGGCUUGCGCCCAUUGUGCAAUAUUCCCCACUGCUGCCUCCCGUAGGAGUCUGGGCCGUAUCUCAGUCCCAAUGUGGCCGGUCACCCUCUCAGGCCGGCUACCCGUCAACGCCUUGGUGGGCCAUCACCCCGCCAACAAGCUGAUAGGACGCGACCCCA
rnacentral:rRNA from 1 species